CUCCUUCUCCUCUCAGCACAAGGCAAACCCUAGAAGGGUUUCCUCUCCCCCAUAUCUCGUGCCGCCGCCGCUCCGUUCGGCUCGUGGACGCCGCCGCACUGCGCCGUCGUCUCCGACCACAUCAAGCCGAACCAAGCGCGUCACGAGCUCCGCCUCUUCUUCCUCUUCGUCUGCGUGCAAGGAAUUUGGCCGGGAUUGCCUACGUCGACGCCUAGCUCGUCUUCCCCAACUCCGGCCGCCGCCUCUCCUCCGGCAAAUUCCGGCGAGCCCGUCAACCAAAUCCUCGUCAGCUUCCUCCUGAGGAUUUGGGAGUUUCCGGAGGAACAGGUGAGUGGUUACUUCGUGGAGUUCGACGACGACAGUUUCGACGUUUAGCCAGAAGAUUUCAGAGCAGGGUUCUGUGAACUUGUGGCGGGCUCUCCUUUUCAGUUUCAGCCUCUUAGGCAAUAAUUAAUUUGUCCGUACUCGGGCCUAAUUUGCUUCCGCUGGUGUAAUGAUGAUUGUGGACAUGUAUCCAGAAGUUGUAAUAACUUGGUAUUUUGCUCCAUGUAUGAGCUUGAUUUGAUGCUUGUGUCUUAGAGUGAUGUAAUGAUAUCAUUGUUGUUCCAACCUGCGGUGAACACAUUGCGUGUAUGUUGUGAAGUGUUCAUCGUAGGGAGGCACUGGGAUUUGAUU